CAGAGCAUUGUGCUGGGUGGGUGCAGAGCAUUGAGGAAGUGUCUGCUGAUGACGUCAGACCCGGAAGUGACUGAGAUCACCUGACUGUGUCGCCAUUAGAGUGUCAGCUCCUGGGACCCGGAAAUGGCGCUGAACCCGCUGCAAAAACUCAGCGACGAGGAAAUGGCGGAUGUCAAGCGAGAUGUGAGUAAAUACGGCGAUAAAACCCGAACCGGAAAUACC